AACGAACGCUGGCGGCAUGCCUAACACAUGCAAGUCGAACGAGACCUUCGGGGUUAGUGGCGCACGGGUGCGUAACGCGUGGGAACCUGCCCUUAGGUUCGGAAUAACUCCCCGAAAGGGGUGCUAAUACCGGAUAAUGUCUUCGGACCAAAGAUUUAUCGCCUUUGGAUGGGCCCGCGUUGGAUUAGCUAGUUGGUAGGGUAAAAGCCUACCAAGGCGACGAUCCAUAGCUGGUCUGAGAGGAUGAUCAGCCACACUGGGACUGAGACACGGCCCAGACUCCUACGGGAGGCAGCAGUGGGGAAUAUUGGGCAAUGGGCGAAAGCCUGACCCAGCAAUGCCGCGUGAGUGAUGAAGGCCUUAGGGUUGUAAAGCUCUUUUACCCGGGACGAUAAUGACAGUACCGGGAGAAUAAGCUCCGGCUAACUCCGUG
rnacentral:rRNA from 1 species